UGCAGGAGAGCCCCACAGGGAUGAACUGUCCUGCUCAAAAUGCCCAUGGUGCAUCCAUACACUACAGAUGAGGAGUCACCUCUCAACGAUGGGUCUGCAGUUGCCUCAGUUCUGCCCAGUGGAAUGUAAGCAGAAGCCAUGGAGCAAGACUCCUGGGAAAACUUUUUCAAAAGGGCAAGUGAAACUGGAGGCCCCUGUCCCUCUCUGCCCUGCGCCUCGUCUUCUGCUUGGAACUCGGUUCAACAGUCAUCAUGAGCACAAAGGCCACAUAUGAGUGAUGGUGGAACACAAAGAUAGAAAGGCCAGAAACCUGAGUGCUGGAAAGCGAUAUGACUGACCAGGCUGAAAACACGCAUUCAGGAUCCAGCUCAUGUACAUCACGUAAGGAAAAACAAAAACAAAAAACAAAAAACC